UGAGUGUCUGAAGGCUGACUGGAGGAUGGAAGAUCUCCUGUUCUCCUUGCGUUCGAUAUGGACCGGUUUCACUGGUUAGAAAUUAAGUACUGGGUUACAACUGACUGAAUACCACAUGUACCCUAUGCAUAGAGAAGUAAGCAGAAAUAGCACACUAACAUACUACUCUCACUGUAAUAUACAUGUUAGUAUGCUAUUUAGUCAUUAAAGGGAUAGUUGAACAAAUGUGUCAUUGGUUUGGAAUGACAUGAGGGUGAGAAAAUGACAGAUUUUCUAUUUUUGGGUGAACUGUCCCUUUAAGACUAAGUGUGUCUCAUUUUAACAAGUGGCCCGACUGUCAUUACAAUGCAAAUAUGAAUUGUGUGCCAUUCAAUAAUGGAAAGCUGUUUACUUAUACUGUUAAUUAUAAAUAUUUCACUUUCAAUUUUUCACCAGCAGAAGCUAUAAUAUGUGAACUGCAGCUUAAGAAAUUGUUGGCCAACUUUUGUGGAAGGUUACAAUUAUGUGAACGUGUAUACAUUUUAUAACAUUUCCAUGUAACAGCAUUAAAAUUUUAUGCAUU